CUUGAAUCAAAAGGAAGGAGACUGAGCCUCUCAGAGGACCAGGAACCAAGCCAAGGCUUGACAAAACCAGCCUCUCUCUCUCUGCUGUCUGGAAAGGCAGGCACUGAGAGAGAUGACCUUGGCCAGGCCAUGCAGGAAGACGGGAAAAUUGCUUACAGCUCUGACAGGAGCUGCACCCUGCAAAAAACAGCCUUUGGAUUGUUGACUCACCAAACUAGCCAGUUCGUGUUAAUGCAGCUGUGACACAGGAUGGCUUUGCUGCCUCCUAGGUGGUGAGACAAAGGGACGUGAGGAGGGGGCAAAAGGGAACGCAGAAAAAUACCUGGUUCAUGCAGACCUGUGGGAACAGCUGCCAAACAAAAAUUACUGAGGACAUUUGUGAGGGUAACUGGCGGAGAUCUUACCAGAGAUUUGAACUGUAAAGGAAAGUGGUAAAGUUUUAUUUAGGACACCCCAAGGCGGAGCUGAGCACGGUGGAAGGUCCAACUCGAUUCUCGAAUAGUAAGAGAACAAAGUAUCUGGAUACACUUCUCAUGCUCAUUCAUCCUGUGCCAUGUAAUUGGGGUUCAAAACUAGGAUGGAAAACCUAAAAAAAAAUUAUUAGUGAAUGAGGAAGUGGCAAAAGAAAAAAAAAUUUACUCAACAAAGACAAAGGUUCCUUGGGCACUUAGAAUGCACUGGGCACUGUGUUAGGGGUAUUGAGUGGACAAGAGUGAUCACCAGCUUCCAGUCCAGAGAGAAGGGCAGAUGUAGGAUAAGGAGAACCAGGAUGGACACCGAGCAGCAGGAGUUCCAUGUGUUACAAGUUCUGUCCCCAAGGGCCUCUCUGCCUGAGGGUCUCCCGCUGGGACGGCCAUCUUCGUUACCACUGCUCUACCUGCACUUGCGGCUCCCUUAUGGAAGUGGGUAUUUCUGGGCUCUGCCCUCGGAGAGUCUGCUUUCAUCUGCAUGGGGAAGGAAAUCUGUAUUUUUUUCCCCGGGCUCUCCAGGUAAUUAUGGUAAGCUGGGUCUGGAACACUUCCUCUCGUAGACUCAGGUUAGAAAGUUGCUGGGUGGUACAAAGUCCAUGCUGAGAAGGCACAGUUGAAUACAUCCUGCUCUCCUGUAGGAGAUCCUGAGUGUCCUCUCCUCUGGGAGCCAGCCUAGAUGGUGUUAGGGUCCCUCCUCUGUGCUACACUAGUGAUCUGGGCCCGCUUGCUUUAGCACAGUCUGUUAUCAUGCUGGCUUAUUCUAGGUCUCUGCCAUUAGGCUCUGAAUUCCAACAUGGCUGUUGUAUCUCACUCACCUCC
rnacentral:lncRNA from 1 species